GAUGAACGCUAGCGGCAGGCCUAAUACAUGCAAGUCGGACGGGAUUGAGGAGCUUGCUCCUCAUGAGAGUGGCGCACGGGUGCGUAACACGUAUGUAACCUACCUUAAUCAGGGGGAUAGCCUCUCGAAAGAGAGAUUAACACCGCAUAAAAUCACACUAUGGCAUCAUAGAAUGAUCAAAUAUUUAUAGGAUUAAGAUGGGCAUGCGCAACAUUAGCUAGUUGGUAAGGUAACGGCUUACCAAGGCUACGAUGUUUAGGGGAUCUGAGAGGAUGGCCCCCCACACUGGUACUGAGACACGGACCAGACUCCUACGGGAGGCAGCAGUAAGGAAUAUUGGUCAAUGGGCGGAAGCCUGAACCAGCCAUGCCGCGUGCAGGAAGACGGCCCUACGGGUUGUAAACUGCUUUUAUACGGGAGUAAACCUACUUACGUGUAAGUAGCUGAAUGUACUGUAAGAACAAGGAUCGGCUAACUCCGUGCCAGCAGCCGCAGUAACAC
rnacentral:rRNA from 1 species